rnacentral:rRNA from 1 species
CCUACGGGAGGCAGCAGUGAGGAAUAUUGGUCAAUGGGCGGGAGCCUGAACCAGCCAAGUCGCGUGAGGGAAGACGGUCCUAUGGAUUGUAAACCUCUUUAGGCGGGGAGCAAUGCCGGGCACGUGUGCCCGGAGGGAGAGUACCCGCAGAAUAAGCAUCGGCUAACUCCGUGCCAGCAGCCGCGGUAAUACGGAGGAUGCGAGCGUGAUCCGGAUUGAUUGGGGUUAAAGGGUGCGUAGGCGGAUUUUUAAGUCAGCGGUAAAAUGUCCGGGCUCAACCCGGGCCGGCCGUUGAAACUGGGGAUCUUGAGUGGGCGAGAAGUAUGCGGAAUGCGUGGUGUAGCGGUGAAAUGCAUAGAUAUCACGCAGAACUCCGAUUGCGAAGGCAGCAUACCGGCGCCCGACUGACGCUGAGGCACGAAAGCGUGGGGAUCGAACAGGAUUAGAUACCCCAGUAGUC